rnacentral:rRNA from 1 species
CCUACGGGAGGCUGCAGUGGGGAAUAUUGCACAAUGGGGGGAACCCUGAUGCAGCGACGCCGCGUGGGUGAGGAAGUACUUCGGUAUGUAAAGCCCUAUCAGCAGGGAAGAAAAUGACGGUACCUGACCAAGAAGCCCCGGCUAACUACGUGCCAGCAGCCGCGGUAAUACGUAGGGGGCAAGCGGUAUCCGGAUUUACUGGGUGUAAAGGGAGCGUAGACGGCGUGGCAAGUCUGAUGUGAAAGGCCGGGGCCCAACCCCGGGACUGCUUUGGAAACUGGCGUGCUGGAGUGCCGGAGGGGCAAGCGGAAUUCCUAGUGUAGCGGUGAAAUGCGUAGAUAUUAGGAGGAACACCGGUGGCGAAGGCGGCUUGCUGGACGGUAACUGACGUUGAGGCUCGAAGGCGUGGGGAGCAAACAGGAUUAGAUACCCGAGUAGUC